rnacentral:rRNA from 1 species
AUUGAACGCUGGCGGCAUGCCUUACACAUGCAAGUCGAACGGCAGCACGGGAGCAAUCCUGGUGGCGAGUGGCGAACGGGUGAGUAAUAUAUCGGAACGUGCCCAGUCGUGGGGGAUAACGUAGCGAAAGCUACGCUAAUACCGCAUACGAUCUAUGGAUGAAAGCGGGGGAUCGCAAGACCUCGCGCGAUUGGAGCGGCCGAUAUCAGAUUAGGUAGUUGGUGAGGUAAAGGCUCACCAAGCCGACGAUCUGUAGCUGGUCUGAGAGGACGACCAGCCACACUGGGACCGAGACGCGGCCCAGACUCCUACGGGAGGCAGCAGUGGGGAAUUUUGGACAAUGGGCGCAAGCCUGAUCCAGCAAUGCCGCGUGCAGGAUGAAGGCCUUCGGGUUGUAAACUGCUUUUGUACGGAGCGAAAAGGCUUCCACUAAUACUGGGGGCUCAUGACGGUACCGUAAGAAUAAGCACCGGCUAACUACGUGCCAGCAGCCGCCGUAACAC